rnacentral:rRNA from 1 species
UGGGGAAUAUUGCACAAUGGGCGGAAGCCUGAUGCAGCGACGCCGCGUGGGGGAUGAAGGCCUUCGGGUUGUAAACUCCUUUCGACAGGGACGAAGCUUUUGUGACGGUACCUGUAUAAGAAGCACCGGCUAACUACGUGCCAGCAGCCGCGGUAAUACGUAGGGUGCGAGCGUUGUCCGGAAUUACUGGGCGUAAAGAGCUCGUAGGUGGUUUGUCGCGUCGUCUGUGAAAUUCCGGGGCUUAACUCCGGGCGUGCAGGCGAUACGGGCUGACUUGAGUGCUGUAUGGGAGACUGGAAUUCCUGGUGUAGCGGUGAAAUGCGCAGAUAUCAGGAGGAACACCGAUGGCGAAGGCAGGUCUCUGGGCAGUAACUGACGCUGAGGAGCGAAAGCAUGGGUAGCGAACAGG